rnacentral:rRNA from 1 species
GACGAACGCUGGCGGCGUGCUUAACACAUGCAAGUCGAACGGAAAGGCCCUGCUUUUGUGGGGUGCUCGAGUGGCGAACGGGUGAGUAACACGUGAGUAACCUGCCCUUGACUUUGUGAUAACUUCAGGAAACUGGGGCUAAUACCGGAUAGGAGCUCCUGCUGCAUGGUGGGGGUUGGAAAGUUUCGGCGGUUGGGGAUGGACUCGCGGCUUAUCAGCUUGUUGGUGGGGUAGUGGCUUACCAAGGCUUUGACGGGUAGCCGGCAUGGGAGGGUGACCGGCCACAUUGGGACUGAGAUACGGCCCAGACUCCUACGGGAGGCAGAAGUGGGGAAUAUUGCACAAUGGGCGGAAGCCUGAUGCAGCAACGCCGCGUGCGGGAUGACGGCCUUCGGGUUGUAAACCGCUUUCGCCUGUGACGAAGCGUGAUUGACGGUAAUGGGUAAAGAAGCACCGGCUAACUACGUG